GAAGAGAGUCACAUGCUGAGACCUGUGGGUGUUCACUCUGCACAGUGGCUAAACGAAGGGAGGGAGGGCAGUGUACCCGCAAUCAUCAUUCCAGAGCUCAUGCUGUGUCAGGGCCAGAUGCCUGCUGUAUUUCAGGAAGCCCAGCCUGUGAGGAUGCCGUCCCCCCUCCGCAGGAAGACGUCAGACAGGACACUUUCCAUCACCCUGCUUCCUGAUUCCAGGCAUCGAUGCUGAGCUGGACAGAAGGAAAACAGCCUUUUGGUGUCUGAGACAACAGCACAAAUGACAGGACUGGCCUUCUUUCCUGAAUGGGAAGAGGGUGGGGAGAAGAAUGCUGCAGUGACCCGAGCUUGUUGAUGCCCUGCCACAGGCACCCCAGGUGGCCUUGGGCAAGUCCCUUCUCUUGCCUCUCCACCUGUAAAGUGUAGGUUACUGGGGUCCCUUCACCUUAGACUUUCUUUGGUCAGAGCUACAGAAAGAGGUGGCUGUAGGGAGGACUUUCUGAAAAAGAGUAAAAAGGCUCUCCUUGCUCAGGAGGCUGAGGUAGGAGAAUCGCUUGAACCUGGGAGGCCGAGGUUGCAGUGAGCCAAGAUCGCAACGUUGUGCUCCAGCCUGGGCAACAAGAGCAAAACUCCAUCUCAAAAAAAAAAAAAAGAAAGAAAGAAAGAAAGGAAAAGGCUCUUCUGAGAGACAGAGUGAUGAUACAAUGAUAGUAACAGCCACUGCUUCCUGAGGGCCUCCCGUGGGUACUGGGUGGGCAUCGUCCAGGUGCCACGCAUGCGUGAUCCUAUUUAAUCUCCAAGCUCUCAGGUGGGCACAAUUCUCCUCGUUUAACUGAUGAGGUAACUGAAGAGCAGAAGUUAGGCGACUUGUCAAAGCUCACAGAGCUGAAAGGUCUGUGCCACAUAUCUGGUCCCAUCUGCCACCUAGUCUUGUUGAAUAUCUUGUAUAUUUCAAAAUGCUGAAAAACUCCGGGGUCCCUCUGGCCCUCCAGAAACAAAUUGGAAGAUACUUCCUGAGUUCAUGGAACCCUGCCUCCCAGAUCCACUGUAGAGACUGACCUUGGCCCAAGCCUGAGGGGUGAUUUUGAGACAAAUUCCUCUCAAGGGGAACCUUUUCACAGAGAAAAGAAGAGGGCUGUUUAGUCUGAGGAGACUUUUGCUCACCCAUAGCAGGCACCCCAAAUGUUCAGAAUGACUUGGGAUCUAUUCUUCUCCCCUGGCCUUCCCCAGAGACAGAGCUGUUUGCACUCUCCUCAUCCCACUGACCAGCACACUCUCACCCACACCACACCCUGGGCACUCUGGGGACCCACAGGCCUCAGCCUCAGCAUGGCCUGGCGCUGGCCACAGCUGGGGCAGGGCUGCUUCCCUUCAGACCCAAGGCCACAGGCUGGAAGGAAAUGGAGGUGGGAGGGGCCCAGAAAAGCUGACUAGGCUGGAAGGCUGGUUGGGAGGGAGGAAGCACAGAAAGGCCAGCCCAGCAAUUUGGGCAAAGCUGGCAAGGCUGCCUUGGCAUCUCUGCGGAUUCAAGGCCACAAGGGCCUCACCUUGGCCACCCAGCCCCGGCUUGUGGCCAGGAGGCUGAGGAGAAGUCCUGAUUGGGUCACACUCUGAGGGACUGAAUCAGAACUUGGCCCUGGCUACCAAGACUAUUGGACUCUUUCCCCUACCUGCAGCUCAGGGGUGUGGCUAGUGGGCAAAGAAAUGCAUAUAUAUAUGUUUGUUUGUUUUGAGACAGAGUCUCGCUUUGUUGCCCAGGCUGGAAUGCGUUGGCAUGAUCAUAGCCCACUGUAACCUGGGACUUAUGGGCUCAAGGGAUCCUCUCACUUCAGUGUCCUGAGAAGCUAGAACUACAGGUGCAUGCCACUGCACCUGGCUAAUUAUUUUGUAAUAUUUUGUAGUGACAGGGUCUUGCUACAUUGCCCAGGCUGGUCUCAAACUCCUGGCCUCAGGUGCUCCUCCUGCCUCGGCCUCCUGAAGUGCUGGGAUUACAGGCAUGAGCCACGGAGCUCAGCCCGCCUCUAUCUUAAGCCUCUUCCUUGAGGCUCCAACCUGGGUCUCUGCUUCAGAAUUCAACAUCAAGAAAUGAAUAAAACAAGGGCCCAGCCUGAGCAAAAUAGUGAGACCCUAUUCCUACAAAAAAUAAAAAUAGUUUUUAAAACAGAAAUGAAUAAAACAAAAAGACACAAACAAAACAAAGCCUCUUUGAGGACAAGAGCCCCACUAAGCUGGGACAAAUCUGAUAAAACCCCAGAGCCUAGGUCUGGGCUGCUGCUGAACUCUCCUGACAUUAUGGUCUGCCAGGGACAGGUGUCUUUGCACAUCUACGGUGACUAGUCCACUCACUCUACACCCCGUCCUGGUUGUGGCAAAGAGACUAUACGUUGUCCACCUAGGUCAGGGUUUCUCAACCUCAGCACUACUGAUAUUUUGGAUGAGGAGCCCCCAAGAUGUUGUCGGGGAGGCUGUCUUGUGCAUUGUAGGGUGUUCAACAGCAUCUCUGGCCUCCACCCACUAAAUGCCAGUAGCAAUGUCCCCAUUUGUGACAAAAAUAUCUCCAGACAUUGACAAAUGUCCUCUGAAGGCAACAUCAUCCCCAUUUGAAAAACACUGCUCUAGCUCCAUUCCCUCCCUUCUUUUUUAGUAAUAAGACUUUUGAUUUUCAGCUGGCACACAGUCAACAGGAAAAAAAACACCAGGCAGCUAGCUGCAAGACCACCCUCGCAAUGAGGCAGCAGUACAACUUCCAGAAAGUGUCUCUAAAGGGAAAGUGUGCAUCCUAUACCCCUUCUUGCUUCCCAAGGGUGAGAACACUUAUGCGGGGGCUGCAGCUGUAUCAC
rnacentral:lncRNA from 1 species